UCCUGACUAUCAAGCGAUUGGUAGACACUAGCCAAGACAGGAGAAACUAAUG
rnacentral:ncRNA from 1 species